rnacentral:miRNA from 1 species
AUCCUCUUUCGUCCUUCCCACU